rnacentral:rRNA from 1 species
AUUGAACGCUGGCGGCAGGCCUAACACAUGCAAGUCGAGCGAGCGGCGGACGGGUGAGUAAUGUCUGGGAAACUGCCCGAUAGAGGGGGAUAACUACUGGAAACGGUGGCUAAUACCGCAUACCAUCGGAUGUACCCAGAUGGGAUUAGCUAGUAGGUGGGGUAAUGGCUCACCUAGGCGACGAUCCCUAGCUGGUCUGAGAGGAUGACCAGCCACACGGGAACUGAGACACGGGCCAGACUCCUACGGGAGGCAGCAGUGGGGAAUAUUGCACAAUGGGCGCAAGCCUGAUGCAGCCAUGCCGCGUGUGUGAAGAAGGCCGUCGGGUUGUAAAGCACUUUCAGCGAGGAGGCGUUACCCGCAGAAGAAGCACCGGCUAACUCCGUGCCAGCAGCCGCGGUAAUAC